UUGGACGGGCUUUAGUUGUAUCAUGUGGGCAAUUUUGGUUGGUUGGAGCUAGCAUGGACUGAUAUAGAUGUGGAGCUCGAUAAGCAGGGGCUGGAGGGUGAUAGUAAUUUUCUUGGGUAUUGUAGAUAGGGUAAGGAGUUGGUGGAAUUUGAUAGUGUUUGACAAGUUCCAGCAUAUUGGUAAGCAUAAAUAGGUUGAUGUGGUUGGUUUGGGUAUAGAGGAACUUGAUUUGGCUUGUAUCCUUGGUCAAUC
rnacentral:lncRNA from 1 species